GGCGGAGAAACGUGCACUUUCACUUCGCAGAGAAGAGCCAUUAUUAUAACCCGUUUUGACGCAGUUUAAAGGCAAAUCGGACAUAAACGCACCGACGAUGCUGCUUCAUUUAUGUGCUCGUACUGUUGACCCGUCCAGUCUCUCUCCAUCAGGUUGUUGAAGUCACUGAAGGAGGCGCUGUCAUCUUGAAGUGCAGUCAAGAAAGUAUUGUACUUGAAGAUAAACCGCUGACGGUCC